rnacentral:lncRNA from 1 species
GCCAGACCAUCCACCUUUGCAAGGAGCCUUGGAGGACUUCCCCCUCUUCACGUGACAGGACCCAGGAGAGGCGUGCCAGCCUCAGCUCAGCUCGCUGCCAGCUGAAAACUUCAAAAGAACAUCAAGAUCAGCUUCUCACAGUGUUUGAAAGGAUUUGAAAUUCAUUCUCACCCUACAUAGACUUGAGCCACUCUGUGGUUACAAUGACGUGUUUUGUUUCCCAUAUAACCUCACUUUCUAAUUCUUAACAGUUUGGAAUCCUCUUAUUGGUGACUAUCCCUGCAGUUUCUAAAUUAACUGGUAAAAUGUAUGUCUGACAAGGAGGAAAGAAGAAAAAAGCCCGCUGAACUGAGCUGCAGGGGGCUUGGCCAACCCAUUCUCUAGCUCAGAUACUUUCUCUCACACAGAACCUCACUUCGCAUGGGAUCAGCAAAUGGCCUGUUAUUUCAUGUCUCAGAAGGGGGCUUGGCCAACCCAUUCUGUAGCUCAGACACUUUCACACGCCAACCUCACUUCAGAUGGGAUCAGCAAAUGGCCUGUUAUUUCAUGUCUCAGAAGUGUGACACUGUUCACAAGUCACAAAAGCAACAAAUGCUUGUUCACUAAUGCAGGGAAUCUACUGCAUUUCUGCAUUUUAAAUAAAAAUGAUGAAUCAAGAUUUUCAACUGUCUACAGUGGGAGCUCACCUUAUUACCCACCUAGACUGUCUACAGUGGGAGCUCACUUACUCCCCAUCCCAGCUGUCUACACUGGGAGCUCACCUUAAUAUCCAUCUCAUCUAUCUACACCGGGGAACUCAUCUUCUUACCCACAUCAGUGUCAACACUGGGAGUUUACUAGUUUACUUACUACUCAUCUUGACUGUCUACACUGGGGAGUUUACCUUAUUCCUUAUCAUGAUUGUCUACACUGGAUAAUCCACUUACUCAUCAUCUUGAUUUUCUACACUGGGGAGCUGGCCUUACUGCCCAUCUGGACUGUGCACACGGCGGGGCUCACUCUACUCUCCCUCUGGACUGUCCACACUAGGGGCUGGCCUCACUCUUCAGUAAUGCACCUGGCACCGAGGGGGCGGUGCCCGUGACAGUGGCAGUCACUCUGAAGUGGGAACUGGCUCUCCCGUGCUGCAAAUGCCUCUGGAGCUCCCAGCAGUCCCCACGCUCCCCCAUGAGCGGGUGAGUGGUGAGGCCGGAGAGGGGAGUCACGGCAGCCCUUGAGGACCAUCCAGUUUGGAAUCUGGGAUACCAGGAGGUACUGCAGAGGGGCGGCUGGAGCCUGGGGGCUGAGGAGAGAGAGGAGACUGGACGACGUGUUUGGAGUAUUCAUGGUCAGCUUUGGGGGCUGCUUACCCUUCCCUCUUUUGAGAACAGUGCUGGCCUCUGGUCUCAGAAAGGAGCUGGCCUGUGGUCUGGCUGGAGGCUGGGGCACCCGUGCUGGGAAGGUUAUGCUAUUUCUGUGAACGGUGUCCCUUUGCUGGGACGUGCCCACAACUCCAGCUGUGAAACCAGAAGAGAACAGACUCGUUUGUCAAGACGUCAAAUGACCUGAGCGACCCUUCAGCCUCAGGGAUGUCUGUUGUAAUCUUCAAAAUGUGUGUUUGGCUUUCCCCCCUCUGAGCUAAACAAACUUUGGUUUCCCUUCCCUCUUGUCAAUAUAUCAUGCUUUAUAGCACAUUACAUGAUUAAAAAGAGAGAGAAACAUCUAGUGCAAGA